rnacentral:rRNA from 1 species
AGUGAACGCUGGCGGUAGGCCUAACACAUGCAAGUCGAACGGCAGCACAGUAAGAGCUUGCUCUUACGGGUGGCGAGUGGCGGACGGGUGAGGAAUACAUCGGAAUCUACUUUUUCGUGGGGGAUAACGUAGGGAAACUUACGCUAAUACCGCAUACGACCUACGGGUGAAAGCAGGGGAUCUUCGGACCUUGCGCGAUUGAAUGAGCCGAUGUCGGAUUAGCUAGUUGGCGGGGUAAAGGCCCACCAAGGCGACGAUCCGUAGCUGGUCUGAGAGGAUGAACAGCCACACUGGAACUGAGACACGGUCCAGACUCCUACGGGAGGCAGCAGUGGGGAAUAUUGGACAAUGGGCGCAAGCCUGAUCCAGCCAUACCGCGUGGGUGAAGAAGGCCUUCGGGUGGUAAAGCCCUUUUGUUGGGAAAGAAAAGCAGCAGGUUAAUACCCCGCUGUUCUGACGGUACCCAAAGAAUAAGCACCGGCUAACUUCGU